rnacentral:tRNA from 1 species
UGGGGCAUAGUGUAAUGGUUACCACUCCAGACUUUGAAUCUGGCAAUCCUGGUUCGAAUCCAGGUGCCCCAGCCA